AGCAGCCGCGGUAAUUCCAGCUCCAAUAGCGUAUAUUAAAGUUGUUGCAGUUAAAAAGCUCGUAGUUGAAUUUCGGGAUUGGCGCAUCGGUCGUGCCUCACGGGGUAUGAACUGGUGCAGUCAAUUUCUCACCUUCUGGAGAACCGCGAUGUCCUUAAUUGGAUGCCGCGGGGAACCAGGACCUUUACUUUGAAAAAAUUAAGAGUGUUUAAAGCAGGCAUUUUUGCUUGAAUACAUUAGCAUGGAAUAAUAAAAUAGGACGGCAUGGUUCUAUUUUGUUGGUUUCUAGGACCACCGUAAUGAUUAAUAGGGAUAGUUGGGGGCAUUAGUAUUCAAUUGUCAGAGGUGAAAUUCUUGGAUUUAUUGAAGACUAACUACUGCGAAAGCAUUUGCCAAGGAUGUUUUCAUUAAUCAAGAACGAAAGUUAGGGGAUCGAAGACGAUCAGAUACCGUCGUAGUCUUAACCAUAAACUAUGCCGACUAGGAAUCAGACGAUGUUAAUUUUUUAAUGACUCGUUUG
rnacentral:misc_RNA from 1 species